AGUGCUAGAGCUGGGCAGGAAGUGUGUCCGAGGCCCAAGGCUGUGUGGCUGAGCAGCUCACGCUCCAUCUGCCUUCCGUCUGCUGGCUGCGCAGGCUCCCGGGCCUGCGUGCCUCAGCUCCUCCUCUGUGAAGGGGCUCAUGCUGUUGGAUGUGAGGGCCUCUGCAUUCAUGCAUGCUGGUGCCCAGCUCAUGCUGAGCGCUUAUAAAUGUUACGAUUAUUUACAAUUUCAGGAAACCAAACCUUUGUCCUGUUUGUUGCCAAUAGUUACCUUCCUGAAUCUGACAGUGGAAUGGACUGUGGCAUUGCUAAUGUGGCAGAUGGGAAGGCAGGCAGGGACACAAGGAGCUCAGUGGAUGGCUCCUAGAAGGGCCAAAGGGGCUGCAACCCAUGUGCAGUCGGCCCUAGCGGGCACUCACAGAACUGUCGCCAAAGGAGUAUCUGCCACUUUAAACAGGCCUCAGAGCCAUAAAGAUAGGCCUGGUUGGCCCCAGACCAAAACCCAAAUCAGUCGCAAGGAAGAUUUUGCAACUUCCUUUUGAGAGAUGCAUUCCAGUGUCGCCCAGCUGAGACUGGCGUCCUGGGGCAUGAACCUCACUCCGUUCUGCACCCUGGCUUCUUGCCACCUCCUCACAGCUGGGAGAGAGGGCCAGAGCUUUGUCCCCCGAGGAGGGCCCUCCUGGGGCCUGACACACAUGGCCACUCCUUGCCCAUGGAGGGAGGGGGCAGGUGGGACUGUGGGGGAUUUCUUGUCCCCAAGCCAAGCAAGGCUCCACUUGGCUUCGGCCCACUCCCCCGCCCCCCCCCCAACCGUUCCAUUCCCUACAGUGACUCAGUCAGGGAGCGGCCCAGUGCCAUGAACCCUGCCGUCUUACCAUGCCCUCCCAUGCCUGGUCCCCGGAGAGUGGGACGCAGGGCUCCUUUGGUUUGCACAGAGGAAGCUGAGGCAACUCGAGCCAGAAGUGGAUUCCAAGCUGGGGUGAGUCACCCCCCCCCCAAAUUAGAACAAGAGAGGGCCUUUCAGGGGCCACACCCGUCCUGGCUGCCUGGCCCGGCAUUGGUCAUCUCUCAGCCUCUGAGAAAGUGGCUUGCAGUUUGUGUUCGGCAUCUUGGCCUGGCGUCUGCGAUGCCCUGCACUGGCCCCCACAGCGUCCUACCCCGACAGCAGCACCGAUACAAUUCCAACCUCUGCUCACACAAACGUCUGUUGCUCUUGCUUUUAAGAUCAACCAGCUGUGUGACUUAUUAGAAACCUCUCCCAUAUUUGAAAAUCCCACCAGGGGAGGAUGCUGCAGAGCUCCGUGGUGGUUGUCACUGCACUACGGUAGGAAGAGGCAUCCUGCACCAUUGCUGGGUGCAGGGACCCAGGCCGAGCCUUGUGUCCAUGGAGACAGCACCAGCAGAGUGCCCUAGCCUUAAGCACGGUUCCUAAUCUGCAGCCCAGGUGAACCACAGCCUCAGGCCUCAGGACUCCCAGGCCCAGGGCGCUGGCCUGCCCUUGCCUCGUAGAUCAGCUUUCCAUUCUCGGCUGAGCUGGAAGACAAGCCCUCUGCCCAGACUUGGCUCUUUCGGGACUCCACUGAAAAACCAAACCCACGGCCAUGAGUCGAUUCCGACUCAUAGCAACACUGUAGGACAAAGCAGAACUGCCCCACAGGGUUUCCAAAGCUGUAAUCUUUAUGGAAGCAGACUGCCACACCUUUCUCCUGUGAGUGGCUGUUGGUUCUGAAUCGCUGACCUUUUGGUUAGCAGCCAAGAACUUUAACCUCUGCACUACCAGGGCUCCCGCAAAUGCUGUCUGGAGCUGAUGGAAUGCCGGGCCUCAGGGAUGGCAGAGAGAAAAGCUCCUCUCCUUCAGAGAGCUUAGGAGCAGGGGCCAGAAAGCCAGGGAAAGGGCCACAUACCCGAGGGAGGUGUAUGCUCAUGGCCACCGCAAGACACUGAUAGCAGUACUAUUUGUAACAGCCCAAGCCUGGAACAAGCCCAGGUCCUCCAACAGUAGAGAUGGACAAGUGGUGGUGGACUCACACCAUGGACCGCUACACACAACGGAGCAGAAUGAACCUCUGCUACGUGCAACAACUGAGGAGGUGAAGCAAAAGCCACAGAUGGUCAGUUACCUCUGACGGCCCCUUCAACAACCCAGAAGAGGGACAGCUCAGUGACCAGAGGUCAGGAACAGGUCACUGCGCCACUGGCCAACCCAAGCACACCGAGUGACCAUACCUUCAGACCCGAGAUUUCACUGCACAGAGCCUUAUCCGCAGUGGCCCCAUCUGCAGAGACGUCUUUGUGGCCGUGCAUCCCCCUCCUUCCUCUACUGCCUGGCCAGGAGGGAAGAGGGCAACCUCCCGUUGGCCUGUUUGUCCCCACAGAGGUUUUUGAGACAGAAGGAAGCAGGAAGAGAGGCAGCAGGAAGAAUGAAGAGAGAAGAAGCAGAGAGAAACAGAGAAGAGAGAAGCAGUAGACAGGAGAGGAACCUCCUAAAAGAGCUGUAAUACCAGUCAAGGGCUGUUAUACUGAAGACAGCGAGAGGCUCAGAAGGGUCCCACCAGCAGAGCCAGCACUACAGAUGGCAGGGCCAAGAGGAGCCUGUCCUGAGGGAACUGAGAGGAGGCUGUCCUGAGGGGGCAGAAGGUAGCCUGUCCUGAGGGGGCAGAAGGUAGCCUGUCCUGAGGGGGCCAAGGGGAGCUUGUCCUCAUGGGGUUGAGAAGACCAGUCUUAAGGGGGCUGAGGGGAGUCUGUCCUUAGGGGGCUGAGAGGAGCCAGUUCUCAGAGGGCUGAGGGGAGCCUGUCUUUAGGGGACUGAGGGAGAGAUGUACUGUAUUGAAGAAAGGAGACUUUGCCUGCAUGCUUCCUGAUCCACAUCCUGAAUUGUAACCUGUUGAUCCUAAUCCCCAGUCGUACCCUAUUACGUCCUUAAUAAACCACUAAUUGUAAGUAUCGUCUGUGAGUUCUGCGUGGACAAUGCCAUGGAUUAGCAAACCCAGAAGAGUAGUAGAGAAUGCCAGGAAAGGGAUAGCUGGUGUCCAAAUUGGUAAAAAAGGUUAUGGGGUGAAGGUGUGUCUGGCUUCCACCUCAUGGGAAUCAGCUUUGGGCUGAUCCUGGUCAUUAUCCUCCCUGAAGUUAGACAGGUUCUGAUGCUACUACAUUACUACUACUGUGCCAUAGUACCGAUACUAUUUGUGCAUUUAAAAACACAAAACAAUCCUAUACAUUUUCUACGAGUUAAUAUGUGUUGUUAGCUGUCAUUGUCCCAGCACCAAACUCAUGGCAACCCCAUCCACCGUUGUGAUCCAUAGAGUUUUCAUUGGCUGAUAUUCAGAAGUAGGUUGCCAGGCCUUUCUUCCUAGUCCACCUUGGUCUGGAAGCUCUGCUGAAACCUGUCCACCAUCACGGCAACACACAAGCCUCUGCUGACAGACUGAUGGUGGCAGGAUACAGUUCACCAAUCAGGACAGUUUCCAACCAGGACAGCUCUCAUCUCCUUCUUGGCCAUGCCUACAGCCAGGGCCUUCUCUCAGCCAUGCCAGCCUGCAGGUCUUCUCUUGGCCUCUGCUCUGCCAGGGCAAGUGUUAGAUCUUUAGCUCUGCUGACAAGUGCCUAGAGGCACCCUUCUCUGCCAGCAAGCCUCCUCUCUAAAGGCACUCAGCUCUCUCUCACUCUGUGGGCCAGGCAAGCCCACCACACCCACUUCGCUGCGUGGGCUAGCAAGCACCACCACAGCCAUCUGCUGGGCUUGUAAUUCUCGCCAUUCGUACU